rnacentral:tRNA from 1 species
GGCGCCGUACCCCAGCGGGAAGGGAGAGGUCUGCAAAACCUUUAUGCGACGGUUCGAUUCCGCCCGGCGCCU